rnacentral:rRNA from 1 species
GCCUAUGGCCGUACAAACGUGCCUAACUUUGAUCUUGGAAGCUAAGCAGAGUUGGGCCUGCUUAGCACUUGGUUGAAGACUAACUGGGACUAACAGGUGCUGUAGUUU